UCCCUCUAGCUGUCACGAGCGAUCCAGAACGGGGUUAGCAGUUGUUCGACUUUCUGUUCGCCGGUUUCUGCCUGGGAUCGCCAUUAUGCAUUUAAAGCGAUUAGCAUGGCAAGCGAGCUGGGACAGUUACUGUAUAGCAAAAAAUUAUUAAUAUUUUCGGAUUUUGGGGUGCUAGGUAAGAUUAGGCAGUUGAUGGGCCUGGACAACCACUUCAGUGAGAGAGGGCUCAAUGCCGCUUUAGCGCUUUGUUUACCUUAGUCGUGCCGGCUUUGCAAACCAUCGGCCGGUUCCGUUCUCAUCGCCGAGUCCUGUUAAACAUCCUGUCCACCUCUCUCCCUCUUUCCCCCUGGGUUUAUAAUAUUUUCAUAAAGAUGGCGGAGGGACCACAGGCUGCAAACUAAUGACUGUCAGAAACAUCGCUUCAAUUUGUAAUAUGGGCACCAAUGCCUCUGCUCUGGAGAAAGACAUUGGCCCAGAGCAGUUCCCAAUCAAUGAACACUACUUUGGUUUGGUUAAUUUUGGGAACACCUGCUAUUGUAACUCUGUGCUGCAAGCGCUGUACUUCUGCCGACCAUUUCGAGAGAAUGUACUUGCAUACAAGGCACAGCAGAAAAAGAAAGAAAAUCUCCUGACGUGUCUAGCUGACCUCUUCCAUUCCAUUGCCACCCAGAAGAAAAAGGUCGGUGUGAUUCCUCCCAAGAAAUUUAUUUCCAGGUUACGCAAAGAGAAUGAUUUGUUUGAUAACUACAUGCAACAAGAUGCACACGAGUUUCUGAACUACCUGCUGAAUACCAUCGCUGACAUCUUGCAGGAAGAGAAGAAGCAGGAGAAACAAAAUGGAAAAUUGAAGAAUGGAAAUGCAAAUGAAAUUGAAGAGAACAAACUUGAACCCACAUGGGUACAUGAAAUUUUUCAGGGAACACUCACGAAUGAGACCAGAUGUCUGAACUGUGAAACAGUUAGCAGCAAAGAUGAAGAUUUUUUGGAUCUUUCAGUUGACGUGGAACAGAACACAUCAAUUACCCAUUGCCUCAGAGACUUCAGCAACACGGAAACACUGUGCAGUGAACAUAAAUAUUACUGUGAGACAUGUUGUAGUAAACAGGAGGCUCAGAAAAGAAUGUGCGUGAAGAAGCUGCCCAUGAUUCUUGCGUUGCACUUGAAGAGGUUCAAAUAUAUGGAACAAUUGCAUCGGUACACAAAACUCUCUUACCGAGUGGUGUUUCCACUGGAACUGAGGUUGUUCAAUACAUCAGGAGACGCUAUUAAUUUGGACCGGAUGUAUGAUCUGGUGGCUGUUGUUGUUCACUGUGGCAGUGGUCCUAACCGUGGACACUACAUAACUAUUGUGAAAAGUCAUGGCUUCUGGCUUUUGUUUGAUGAUGAUAUUGUUGAGAGCUUUCAAGUGUCAGUUUGGCUCACUGGUAGCUCGUUCACCUCCUGAGUCAGAAGCUGGUGGAUUCAGGACCCACUGCAGUACAUAAUCUAGGCUGACACUUCAGUGCAGUACUGAGGGAGUGCUGCAUUGUCGGAUGUGCCAUCACACAGAAAAUUGAUGCUCAAGCUAUUGAAGAAUUCUACGGUUUGACUUCAGACAUUUCAAAAAACUCGGAGUCAGGAUAUAUUUUAUUUUAUCAAUCAAGAGAGUAACAUGUAAAACACUGGACUAAGUAAUCAGAAGGAUAAUUGUUUAACUUGUCCAAAGAAGAUCAGGCCAUUGCCAUCUGAUUAUUAGGGCAUUCAUUGUCCUUUAAGGGCCUUUCGCUCAGGAUGUCGGAAUAGGAUUUCGAUCGUACUCCAGGCAUUUGUAGGCUAAUGGCAAAUAUAUGAUCUUAUGGGAGAUGCAAGUCAGAGUAGUUUUGACAAGGGAACAUCCUGUCAAAAUACUAACAAAGGUAAUGCAAGUAUGCAUGCAAGACUGUCUUUCCUUCUUUUUAAAAAAAAGCAUUGCAGUGAGCCAAUAGAUAUGGCAGUGUUUCCAUUUUUCCCCCCAUGUAGGUGUACUUCUUUUGCUGAGCCCAAACAUUUGUUUAUGUUACUAACAUUAGACCUGGAUUUUAGAGCAUAAUGGGGGUAACAAAGAAGAAAGAAUUACCUCUAAAUUCCAAAAUGCAAGUUUGCCUCAUCCAAAAUGACCGUUGAUUCACUGGAUUAGAAAAAUAAAUGUAUUUCGGUUGAUUUUUAUUUUCCCUAGUGUAAUUUGGAAUAUUGUUGCUAAUUGCUUCAAAAUGUGAUUUUUUUUUGUGUUAAAAGCCCUUUCAUUGCAGACUAAUGUAUAGCAGCUAUAAGUCAUAGAAACAGUUAGUUUGAUCAUUUCAUUUUUAAAUUGCUGAAUGGUUUCUGUCUUUGCAUGUGUAAAAGGUCCUAUCUUCUGAGAGAUCAAGAGAAUGGGAACAAAUCAUGAAUUAUUAUUUUAUUCUGAUUUGAAGUGAAUAGUAUGCAAUCAAAAUUUGAACCUUAAAAUCACUUUUAAAUAGUGCAGUGUAAUUCUUCAAUAGUCUUAUGGUUUAGUCUUUAUUUUAAAUGGCUUCCCAAUAUAACUAGAUCAUGUAGCUAAUAUAGCUGGACCACACUGAUCAUUGAUAACAAUCAAAUAUAUGACUUUCUGUGAUGUUAUCUAGUGUUUCUUCUUAAUCAUAUCUAUGAGAAUACUAUAAAUAUUAGCAAUUGAUUAGUUUGACAUUAGCACGUGAGAUGGGGUAAACAAAAUAUCUUUGGCAAAUCUGGAAUGGAUAGAAAUAACUAUACAAAGGAUCAAACAAAGACAUUGUCAAAAAUGCUUAAGAGGUAAACUGAAACUAGAUUAAUAGGUUCUUGAUUGAAUGUGUUGGUUUAGAACCGGGGUACCCUACCUGUGGUCCAUGGACCCUUUGUUAAUGGUAUUGGUGCAAUGCAUAAUAAAAGGUUGGAAGCCCCUGAUUUAGAAGAAUAUCUAAUCUCUUGGCCUAUUUCAUUUCAGUUCAGAUUAAAUUAAUAAAUUUGAUUUAUAAAGUACUAAUCAAAUGAAAGGGCUUUUUUAUUUAAAAUCUUACUUGAUUAAUAUUUCCAUUCUACAUAUGUAAGAUUCAUCUCAUUUGAUUUUCUUUUAAACUUUUACAAAAUAUUUACUUUUUGUUUCUAAAUUAAAGUACUUUGUUCCAGUCUGUAGACUACAUUAGAAUAAAAUGCCAUAGACAUCUGUAUCACUUACACAAAAUUCUAAACAACUGUCACAUCUUCCUGCUUAUGAUCCUUCCAAAAAUCACUUUGGUUAUUUAUAUUAUUAAAAUAAUUGCCUAGUAAUUCAGUCUGUAUGCAAACCUUUAUGCUAGUUUACCUAACCUUUGCAUUUACUUACCUUUACAAAAGUUCUGACAAAUAUUGUUUCAAUCUAGUCUAAAGUGAGUAUUGUGAUCAAUUUGCUGCAGUCUAGUCCUUGACUGAUUUUUUUUUUGUGUGGUGAUCAAAUUGUAUUAGGUUUCAAUUCGUGUGACUUUUCACUUUUGAAAUUGGUCUUGUAUAGUUGCUUCUUAUUGAUGACCAGCAUCCAUAGCACUUGUUUAUAAUACCUAGGAAUAUUGCACUAUUUUUUAUAAAAAUCUGUUCUCAGCUCAAUAAAAUGGUCUGUUUGACCAUGUUAAUUUGCAAUCAGAUUAAAAGCAUGGUGAUGAAAAUUACAGCUGAUGGUCCACCUGAUCACAGUAGCUAAAUCAGUAUUUUAACAGAAAUCCAAAAACACGGAGAUCAGAUCAGCUAAAGCAAGGGUUCCCAAACUUUUUUAUGCCAUGGACCCCUACUAUUAACCAAGGGUCAAUGGACCCCAGGCUGGGAACCUCUGAAUAAAGAUUGAUCCCCUUAGAACCUACCUAAUGGUUUUCAUAAAGCAACCUCCAUGAUGUGAAAUGCCUAUUUGAAUGUAGUGCAGGAUUUUUACAAGUUACCAAGGCCUUGUUUCUUCCAGGUCUGGAGUUGAUAGCAAUUCCAAAGUCCUAAAUCCUGGCUAGAUUCCUGAUCUGCUGAUCCCUCAUUCUACUAGGAUUUAUCUAUAGUUGAUUAAAUAGACAUGCACAUUUUUAGAUUCACAAUUUGUUUGGAUUCUAAAUUCUGGCACCUUCCCAGCUGGACUAGAUUGAAUUGCUAAAGGAAACCGUUUCCAUUAUGUAUACAGCGAAUAUUUGUCAGCCCACCUAUCCUUCCCUGCCAUCCAUUUGGCAUCUGACAAAAAAAAACAACACAACAGGUAUAUUUGAGAUAAUUUUGUUUUGGCAAUGCUGAACUUGUUUUGUUUCCCUUAGCUUGCCAUAUUUGGUCUAAAUAUUAGACCAUGACUUCAGAAUGCCACUGGUGGUUCACAGAUGGACAUUGCCUUUUUAAAUAGUUAGGGGAUGGUGAUUAUGAUAUCACAUUACUUUCUCUUCAAAGAACCCUUUCCCUUCUCUUGCUUCCCGAGAUUCAAGGUUGUCACUUUCUUGAAAUUUUCAUGUUAACCCAGAAAAUCUUUGCCCAAUAAUGUACCUUCAUCCAGCAUUCAUCUGUAGUGAAGUCUUUAAUUCUCAAGGAAAUUUUCAGGGGAACAUUACUUUGGAAUUGUCUUUUGGAAGCUGCCUAAUGGCUAUGAACAUAUAGCAAAAGUAAGUUUUUGUGGGUUUGAGUGGAGGAGGAAAUGAACAGCAAGCAACAUGAAUGUGGUCGCAGAACUUAGAUUUUGAAACUUUCAGAAACAUGUAUUGCCAUAGUCUCGCUGUCAAAGAAUUGGAUCCCAUUAGAAAGUGCCACCUCAUUUUCUCUUGGGUCAACUUUCCUCAAUUUAAACCCUGAGAUUACUGUAGUAUACUUUUGUAUGCCUGCUGUACCACGCUGUAUUUUGUCCAAUUAAUUCCUGACAAUUCUCUGUAGGUUGAAUUUCCAACUCGUUCCUCCUGCCGCCUUAUUCUGGCUUCAGCCCCUUUAUUUCCAGUCCUGAUAAAGGGUCUCAGCCUGAAAGUCAACCGUUCAUUUUCUUCCACAGAUGCUGCCUGACUUGCUGAGUUCCUCCAGCAUUUUGUGUGCUCCUCAGUUAUAUUGUCUCUCCUUCCUUCAAUUAGUAAAAUAAGCUCAUUUGCAAUUUUCUAAUGUAAGCAAACAUUUUCUAAAUGCAGGCAAAUGCAUCUUCAAUUUAUUCACUUUUGUUUUAGUCAUCAAAACGUUCUUCCAUUUUACUAAGCAUCAUUUAGCCAUUCCAAUUUCUAUACAAAUAAAAUUUCUGAUGAUUUCACUUUAUCUAUUUUUCCCCUUACAUCUGUUCAGUCUUUACAGAGCUUGCUAAACUAGGAAGCUAAUUAACUCAAAAUUGGGCACUAUGUUGCUAGUUGAAGAAGAAUUUGUGACAAUUGUUACUUUAGGCUUAGAUAAAAUUACAGAGUUAAUUCUGGCCCUAGACUUGUGCAUCAUUUAAAUUGCCUUUAAAACUACUAUUUUACAGCCUAUUGGUACUUUGUGUAUUUGUAUGGAGGAAUGUGGAGAGAUACACUAGUUAAUUUUGGCACUGGUAUUUUAAUAUAAUGUCCCCUGCACGUUUCCCUCUUGUGUAGCUAACUUGUGCAUGUCCACAGAUCCGUGAAAAAAAUGGUGAGGAAAAGGAGGAACACAGCACGACCAAUAACCUUUUCGAAGUCUUGAUGCAAUUAGAAAAAUUACAGGCUUCUAUCCAAUCUGUACAGGGCAACUUGUGCUUGUUUGUGUUUAUAAUCAGAUCAAUCAUCUUUAGUAUACUAUUCUUUAAAGUUACUGAUUAAUUACCUGACCUCCCAAAAUCAAUCUUAGUUUUUGCACUCGUCAGUCUAUAUAUUUAUCCUUCUGAAACAAAGGUAGUUUAAGCUGCUUGUAUUUUCACCGCCUUCUCUUUUGUAAGAAAUUUUUGUCCAUGAAAUUAUUCUAAGUUAUUGGAAAUAACAAAUGCACUCAACAAAUUUAUUUUCUAUCUUUCUUAUAGCUCUUCCCUGCUAGAAUAUUUUCCUUAAGGCAAUUUGGGCGUGUGAACAUUGUUGUAUUCCAGAUGUUCUGUGCCACAGUACAGUUAACUUAGCAGUGUAGAUUUCUUUUGACGUUAUUUUUCCUUUCAAAUUGUGGGCAACUUUAGUAUUUAUUGUGUAUCUAACUGUUCAAGCCUCAUUUUACUCAAUGAUUGUCAAUGUAAUAAUGGGCUAGUGCAAUUUAAAAAUGGCAAGUCACACUUGGAGGGAACGGUGUUCAGUGCUGCAAAUACAAUAACUGUUUGUGUUUCAGCAUCCCUACCAGCAAUAAUCUGACUUUGAUAAAUGGUGCCAUGGCUUGUAUAUUACCUUCCAAUCAGCAUUUAUUGCAGCUUUUAAACUGGACUCCUUUCCAGUGCUGAUGAAGAACAAUUAAAAGAUAAAGGUUGUCAUGAAAUUGCUCAUUUUCUUGCAAGAUAUAUACUCCUUUUAGUCCAAUUGCUGACAAUAUUGUAAUAACAAACUCAAUGUAAAAUUGUUAUUUUUAUUGGCUGAUGGCAAUGCCUAUUAGAUUAAAUAACUUCAGUGACCUAAAGUUAAUGACUUUUAUUCGCACAUCCCUGUACAUGACAUUCAUUGCACAUUUUAGGUACUUUUUAAUGACCUAGUUUGCACAUCUUGAUACAAAUAAAUGCUGCAGAAUCGAUAUUUUCACUGUACUAUUUGUCUCUACUUCAUUAAAUACACUUUUCCCCUACAUUGAAGUGAAGAAAACUAACAUUUUUUUUUAUUAGCGAAAUGUAAUAUUGUCAACAUUUUAGUUUAAAAGCAAUGAGUUUUUAGUGUAGGUUCAAUAUCUGUGGUUCUAUCCAUUUUUCUUAUUGAUUAUGUAAACAGUAGAAAUACACAGAAAUCAAUAACCUGCAUAUAGAAUGGAUAUGUACCUAUAUAUAUGAAAGCUGCAAAUCCUUUUCAAUAUUAAAAUGAUUAAAUGUACACAGUUUACUCGAGGGUUUCUGUAAACUACUGUAAUAGAUUAAUUGCAGUUAAGAGAUUUAAAAGGUGCCAAACUUAGAAUAAUAGAUAUGUAUGAGAAAAGAUUUAUUUUUUCAUACAACCCCUAGUGCAUAUGAUGGCAAAAAAUAAUGUUGGCUUGAAAUUGUAAUCUGCUGUAGUGAAAUAACACACAAUGCUCAUAUCAGAUGACAUUUUGUGGGUACAUAAAAUAUCUUAAUCAUUGGAUCAUUUGGCAUUCAAAAUAUAUAGUGCCAAUGGAUAAAUUUAUGCAUUCAAGAACUUUUCACUGCAGAUGUACACAAGUAACAAUAUUGUAAUCCUAGAAAGUGGUGAAUACUUUCUCUUAAUCUUUGUGUCUUCAUUUCUUCCAUCACUAUAUUUGGUCAAAGCAGCAUCAGACUGAGUAAAUAAAUAUGUAUCAACAAAAAGCAGGUUAUGUGUAAAACUUCCAAAAGCUUAACACUUAGUUUGGAAGAAUGAACUGAUGGGAAAAUGUUACAUUUUAAUGUACCUAUGUAUGUGUACCCACACAGCACUUUGAUUUAAAUGUAAUGUGUUCAUUAAAUGGGGAUCAUGACAGAGGAUGUAUAUAGAAUUUGUAUAUAAUCUGUAUUUUCUUCAAUAAAAUCUAAAAACAAAUUGUGGUUGUAUUUUCUCCAGAUCACAAUAUAAAAUGUUACAACCAUGUACCAGAAUUUUUAAAAAAACAUCAUUAAGGAAAUGCCUGUUAAUCAUUCCAACUAGUUUCAGUUGGGUUGUAUUAUUAAGGGUGAGGCUAGGCUGGUGUUUAAGUCUAUAAUCACUUCUUGAGCGCUGAGUUGUCAGCUUGACCCAACAGAACCCCAUUUUGGUUACUAAGCUUUUAUAAAAGGAGUUUUAGUAAUUUAUACCCAGUGAUGAUUGGAAAAACUGACCAGUUCUCUAUUUCUAAGGACAGCAUGUGACUUAGGUGAUUUUGUUUCUUUGAACGUCAUGCAU